UUUUUGUUUCUAGUCCCCCCAUAAGUUGAAAUUUGCCUUGAAAGCUAGCUUAUGGCUCGGUUCAUAAACAAGUAAAGCCGAACUGGGUUUGAUAGUAGCCAUAACUCUUAUUUUCAACAGGAUAAAUCAUUAAAAAUGAAUAAUUUAUUAUGUAACAAGAGAUCUCAAAUAAAGAAUAGUAUAAUAUAUCACUAUAUAUAAAUAGUAUAAUUCUCAGUGUCCAUCCAAAAAUAAAUAAAAAAUAAAAUAGUAUUCAUACAAAACUCAGUUUGUAUGAUGUACGAUCUCAACGAAUCGUAAGGAGCCGAUGGAGAACCAUGGGCAAAUAAUCUAGUUCUUGAUGAGGACCAAGAGAGACAAAACCAAAGAAGAACCCACAACAGCGGCAGAAACCGGCAAGGUGUAUCCUGCACCGUGGUCCGGCGCCGGGGCAGGCGACGGAGACAUUCCGAACUCAUCCUGAGCCAUUGCAGCAGAACAAAUUGCCAUCACGGCUACGAACAUGAACACAGCCCUCAACAUUGUCAUUUCCAUAUGUAUUUCAAAAAACAGAACAAUUGAGAGAAAUUAGAAAAGAAUAGUUCAAGAAAAUUGUGUUCGUUUUCUUGGUCCUUGAGUUGGGUUUAUAUAUUGCAUUUAAAGCCGUGUGGGGUCCCAAAAAACAAUGACAGCUAGUGACUAGGGACACGACACGCAGCGGCGCCGCCAUGGUAGGUUGGCUGCGACACGUUUCUUGGGUUGGCGAGGCGAGGCAAGGCUGUUAACCUAACUUUCUUAGUCUCCAAGGGAAGCCUCUAUAAGUCGGUAUGUACGAUAACUCAGUCAAGGUGGACUUCGAUUAUUAGCAAAUUAAACUCUUUUAAGUUAUUUUAGUCUUCCUUGUGACAAUACUUAACUCAUAUUUUAAGAGAAUCUUGUCGAAUAAAGUGAAUCAAAUACUCUUUACAAUACAAAACUAUCCAUCUCCUAGCCAUAAUUAUUAAGUAUUAAAAUAUCUCAAGAAAAUAUGAUUUUAAAUAAUUAGUUUCUAUGAAUAUAUCAACAACAAAUCUAUGGUCUGUUUGGGAGCGAUUUUUUCUCCCAAAAAAUUGAUUUUGAACCUUUAUUUCACUAUUUCAGCCGUCAUAUUUGACUUCUUCUCUUAUAGAUAGAUCCCACUUUUCUCUUAACGGUCAAAAAAUCAAUUCUCAAAAUCACUCCCAAAUAGGCUCCUAAUAUUUAUAAAGUGCUUGUUUGAAUUUUCUUGACCUUAAAAAAUGGUCCAACGGAAUUCCGACCAUCUCCCCUCCACGUAGGUGUCAUUUACGCACUCGAACAUUCCCAUUAGGAAGCAAAGGCCGCUGGCCGAAAACAAGUCUAACGAUCGUUUGCACUCCGAUAAUCAAAUCAAUAACCAAAUAAGAGAUAAUAUAAAUGCAAGAGAAGGAAAUGAGAUUUAGUUAGGGUUAGAGUGACAUACCAUGAUUGUGAAUGGACUCGCAAAUAUGUAGGAGGCAAAUGGGCCAAGUGAGCUAGUGGGCUGGACCCAAGCCUAGGUUGCUUGAUUAAUUGGCCCAAUCCAAUUAAACAAUCGAUGUCGAGUUAGUCAAUGUAGGACCCUUCCUUCACGAGCAUGCAAUAUAAUAAAUAGAUAUAACAUAUUGUGAUAUCAGUAUCUUAAUGUCCUUAUAUUAUUAUUACAAGCAUAUACAUUAUAUUAUUGUUGCAAAAUACACGUCAUAUCAUUGUUUUGGCUAGAAUUAGUCCCAACGAUAUCCAUUUCUAUUAUGAAAAUUGAAAUUUAUCAUAUUCAAAGUAAAGAAAGGAAUAAGGCUAAUUGGCACAGAACGUCCCCACCUUUCAAAUUUAUUGUGAAAAGCAUCCAUACCUUUUAUUUUUUGACAUUUUUGCCCUUACCUUCCCCUUCCUUUGCGCAGAAGGUCCUUUUUAUCAAUUUUGGACAAUUUUACCCUUCAUUCAAAUAAAACAAAAAGAAAAGAAAAAGAACUAAUUGCAACUAUAGUCCCAAAAUUUUCAAAAAAUUACAAAUCAAUCACAAUUUUCAAAUAACUAGUACCAACACUUUUUUCUUCUAUUUUUUAAGUUUUUUCAUUUUCAUUGGCUAUGAUUCAAAAAUUGUGAAAUGAUAAAAGUAAAAGCAAUAUUCAUAUCAAACUUUUGUAACUUCAAAGCUAUCUUCACUUCGUGAUGGAGCCAUGGCCUUUUCAAUCUAAUUCUAAUACAAAUUCCCCGCAAAAUUUCCAACUCAAUGGCCAGCUAUGGUGGCUGGAAGAAACAUGAAAUCAGUGGUGAAGACAGCUACAACGACAAAAUAAAGACACUAACAUUUUAAGGGCUCGCAAUUGGGAAUGAUUCAACAAUGCAACUUUUGAAUCAAUUUGCUUGUGAAUUAGAUAAAAUGAACAAAAUUCAACAUUGAAAGCCAGCAGAAUACCAGAAAGAGAGAGAGAGAGAGAAUCAGAUAGGGUUUGGUGAUCUAGCCAUCCUGGAAAUAUCCUUUUUUUUUUUCAAUAAAUAUAUGUAGAUUUGAACUGCGUAAAGUUCACAUUCCAAAAACUCCAGUAAAUUAAUAGUAUAAGUUUUCACUCCACAUUCAACAAGUCAAUAUCAUUUAUUUCCUCAACAAAACCAACUACACAAGUUUGACGAUUCCAACACAGAACCAGAAUAGAAAAUCAGAAAAUUAAAACCACACCCCAGGUAAUAUCAACCUUUCUAAUCACAUUCAGUGUGUUGAGUCUGUGAAGAAUCGAAUUCAAAGUCGUUCUAGUGCUUUCCGGUGGGCCCAUGUCUCGAUGGUGAGAUCAAACUUGGCAUUGAGACCUGCUCCAAGGAUAACGAUUGUGAGGAAGCCGAUGACAUGGUAGGACAACUCCCAGUCCUCCCACUUUCAAGAUUGUCCUGGCGACGGUGGUGAAUAGGUAUCCCUUGGGGCAUUCCUCAUGACCCGACUUGCCUACCAGUGAGUCUUUGGAUCUAAAUUCCACACCCAUCUCGGAAGUGGGAAUAUCCUCAUUAUACAUUAUAUAGGAACAGGGCCGGUCCUGUGAUUGUCAGGGCCCGAGGCGAAGUUUCUAAAUUAGGCCCCCAAAAAAAUUGACCUUGUUAGCCACUGCCUGCUGAUUGUGGCGAAGAACAAAGAAGAGGAGAAGACGGGCACAAAAGAGAAGGAAAAAGAGAAAAACCCCAAUUCAAAAGAAAAAAAAAAAAAAAAUAAAUAAAUAAAAAAAAAGUUUGAGGGGAUAUGCUAGGAUAUUCAUGGGUUUUACAAAUUGUGAAUAAUUUGAAAUUUUUUGAAAAUUUUGGGACUACAGUUGGAAUUAAUUUUUAUUUUUUAUUUUUUAUUUUUUUUGUUUUAUUUGAAUGGAGGGUAAAAUCGUCCAGAACUAAUGAAAAUGACCUUAUGUGCAAAGAAAUGUGGAAGGUACGGGCAAAAAUGUCAAAUAAAAGAUAUGGACGUUUUCCACAAUAAACUUAAAAGAUGUGGACGUUUUGUACCAAUUACCCAAAGGAAUAACAACGAAUAUGCUUAUUCCAAUCAUUUAUACAUCCGUUGUAUAAAUUUAUUCCAUUUAUAGAAAUAUUAGUCUUGUGGAAGUAUGUGCACUUCCAUAUUAUAAGAAAUAUUGCAAUCUCAUCAUCACAACAUGAAUUGCCACUACCACAAUGAAAUUAAACAAUGGCCGAAACUUGCACCUUGAACCUCCCAAACUAAUAGCAAUAACCAACACAAAUGAAAGAUGGUCACUCACAUGUUCCCGAAACCCAUUGUUAAAUAGGUAAAGAAGGAAGAAAUUAAAGUUGGUUUGGCAGCCUUCUUCCACUAAUGGCCACUGGGGUAAGCACAACCAUUUAUACAGAGAAAUAUUCACAUGAGGUAAAACAAGACCAAAGUUAGUCAUUAAUUUGAAUAUCGAGUCUAUUUCAUUUUAACAAACCCAAUUUAGAGAAUAUUUUACUAUCAUUAUUCUCUCCAAAGUAAGCAUCUAUUCACAUGCUAUUCGCCAUAUUUCAAAAAAAGGAAUAGAUACAAUGCUUUAAAAAUUAAACUGCCUUGGCAUGACAAAAGAACUCAAGCCCUUUCAUAAUUAAAUCUUUAAAACAAACUGAAUUCUUAGAAUUUAAUCGACAGGUGAACAAAUAAGACUUAAUCAAAAUAACGCCCAAUGGAGCAUAACCGUUAAAAUGGUACGAACAGUAAAUAAUUAAUGCAAUAACAUAUUUAAAUCUCGCACAUACCAUUCUAUAGUCAGACAUAUAAAACAGAUUUUAUAUGUUACCAAGCCAUAUAAUCAAAUCAUGUAACUUAUUUAACAUAAUAUAAAAUGCACAAAAAUUAUCGUUUUAAAAUUGUUGGAAAAAUAGACAUGCAUAAAUUAUAUUCAAAUAGCAUACAUUUUAUAUGCAUAAAUUCGGACAUAAUUUUUAAUUUCUAAAAUCGAAUACGUAAAGCAGAAAUGAGAAAUGCAUGUAUAUGAAUUUGGUCGAUACAAGAGUUCGACUCUUUUUCCUUAAGAGGAUAAUGCUACACACGAGUGCUAACGAUUUUCCAUCAUUUGUCUCCCAGGAUACAACGAUCGCAUCUUGUACUAGGAGCACUCCAAAUUACGUAGACCAAUGAACCUAUUUAUAUUUUGAACACUCUUUAUAUGAAACUUGACUCUAAAUAAAUGCAGAAUUUUGAAAGGAAUAUGUAUUAGUAUGAUAAUGUAAUCAUGAAGUGAAUGAACGAAUAAAAACAAACACAUUGGAUCCAUAUACAGAUGUUGAAAAGAUUGUCGCAAAUGACACAACCUAUGGAUGAGACGUAACUAUUGAAAUUAGUCUCUAUAUUUGAAGAGAUACAUUUAUUGAAAAAUAAUAACGUCAAAAGUCGCAAUCUUUCAUAUAGAAAGAUACAUUUUCAACAAAACAAUUCACUUAUUUAAGUGACUUAAAUUUGACUUAAUUUUUCAUUUACCAAAUAACAAUUUUCACUUAACUAAAUAAGAAUUGGUUAAAACCAAUUUCAUAUCCAAAAUUCCAACAAGAAGGACACAACUUCUUUGGAAUCGCGGCAAUGUGCAGCAACCAAAAAUCGAAGUCUUCAUAUGCCUUCACCCUAUUCGAUAUUGUAUUAUAAAACUUUGCGGCUCUUUUUCAGGUCUAUCGUUAGUGCCUAUUAGAUGGGAUUUAAUUAAUGUUGCCCACACUCGGGCUAAAUAUACAUUUGGCCCCUAGCUUAAAAAGUGAAAAAAUAAUAUAAGUAAAAAUUAAUAAUUAAUUUUAAUUACACGUUUUAUGGGACUUGCUAAUUUUUAAUAACUUAUUUUAUUAACUUUCUCAAAAUUUAUUAAAAAUUUAAUUUUUAUGUAUACCAAAGAGGGCUCGGGGAUUAAUAAUUGUAAUAAUGUUGUCUGUUAUCUGCUGCUUGGGAACAAAGGUACUUUGUAACGGGGUUAUAAUAUCCGGUACAUGUUUUAGUCGAUUUCCUAAGGUCUUCGCAACUGCCUUGUAUAUUACAUUGAAUAGAAUUAUCGUUUUGUAUUCAAUGAUGCUUCUCGCACAUUUAACUUUUAGGAUUAGCACCAAUGAAGUGUUAUUAGCUGAUUUAAGAUACAUGUCACCAUUCAGAACGUCCAAGCAGAGUUUUGUAACAUUAAGAUCAACAAUUUCCCAAUUCCAUUUAUAGAAUGUUUUAUAAAAUUCGUACAAGCAGGGGUUAAAUUCAUCAACGACUAUCAAUUUUCAUACUUAGUGUCACAAUGGUCAAUCAAUUUGAUUUUGUUUUACCAUCACUACCCAAUUUUAUACUUAGUGUCACCAUGAUCACUCAAUUUGAUUUUAUUUCAUUAUGACUACUCAAUUUCAUAUAACAUUUCACCAAGAUCAUAGACACCCGGCGUCUUUUCACUAAUUUUAAAGGGAAAAACGACAACUUUUAAUUAUAUGUAUUAUAAAAUUAAAAGUAAAAUAAAACUUAUUUUUAAAAAAAUUACUUAGAAAAAAAAUAAAAUAAAAAGUUAUUUAAAAAAGGUCACUUAGAAAAAUAAAAUAAAAUAAAAACUUAUUUAAAAAUGUUUUUAAAAUGAAAACACUUUUAAAUUAUUUUUUUCGAAUUUAUUUUAUAUAUAAAAUGCAAAGUUGCAAUUUUACUCCUUUAAAAUUAGUGAAAAUUGUGAAAAGAAGAUUGCAAAGAUGGAAUUGAAUUACCUAGAAAACGAAUUUUAGGGAAUUGAAUUGCCUAAAAUUGUUUUCCUGAGUAUUGUAAAUUAUUGUGUUUGAUUGGUAUAAUUUUUCACGUGAAAAAUGUUGAAAUAAAAGUGUUUUUUAGUAUUCGUUUGGUUUUGUUUUAUAUGAAAAUUAUCAACUAAAGGAAUAUAUUUUACUGAUAUUGGGGGAUAAAAUUUGUUUCUAUUGCCAAUACAAAAAAAAAACAAAAAUUUCAAGAAAAUCAUCUAUCUCUUGGUGUUCGUUUGGCUUUGUUUUACAUGGAAAUUGCCACUUAAAGGGAAAUAUUUUUUUUACAAUAAUUCUUAGAAUUUGUUUUCCAUUGCCAACAAAAAAAAUAAUAAUAAUAAUAAUACUAUAGUAGGUAGGAAAACCAAUUUCCCACUAUAUAUGGUGAGAAUUGGUUUUCCCUAAAAAUCAAGAAAAGUCCAAACUUCAAGGAAAUCAAGAAUUCAAAUUCCAUGAAAAAAAAUGUAUCAAACACCUAAAGUUGGAAAACUCAAAUCCAAUUCCAAUUCCAAUUCCAAUUCCAUCUUCCAAUUCCUAUUCCUAUUUCACCCUAUCAAACACGUCAAGUAUAAAAUUCAGUGAUCAUAGGUGAAUUUAACCUAUGGACAGGUUGCCUUGAAAAACCUCAUAUGAAAGAGUGCAUCCCAAACCUUUGAAUCUGAGAAUGGUUCUACUAAGUCGCUAAGAUGAUCUGCGAAUAGGGAUAGAGUCCACUAACCUAGGUGAACAACUCAAAGAAAAAUUCAAAGACCACUCAGGCUGUAUGUCGACCAUUCUCAUGCCAGACACCAUCCCCAUCAACCAAUCUCAUUAUCUAAUUUUUUUUGCCUUCCUACCGACUGCCUUUCUAUGCAACAAUUGUCUAAUAGAGUCAGCUACCCGAGUCAACGGAUCAUUGAUUAUUUCCCUUCCUCUGAUAACCAUAUUGCUCGAACUUGUAGCAACAUUAUAUUUUUUGUACACCUUGUUAAUACCAAGAGGAAAAAUAGCAUAGAGAAAAUUUCAAGGGAUGAAAUCUGAGCAAAACGAAAGAGUAUGGCUAGUCCCCUAAUUUUAUUCAAUAAAAAUACUUGUAUCAAAUCAUCCAUGUCUUGUGCACAAUUUUUUUAAUGCCAUCAUCUUCAUACAUAUUUUCUCCCAAACUCAUCACCUUCCAAGGGGUCGAACCACCACCAAAUGUCCCUUUUUCUUUUAGAACUUCAUAAAAUGCAAUCGUCCAUCUAUCCUCAUAUUUGUUUAUACUUCACCAAUGCAACCACUACCAAUGACAUCUCCAAUUAGUGAGCAAGUUACGUAAGAGAAAAACAUUAUCAAGUGAAUUGCAAAGGCCUCAGGAGGUCAAUUAUCUCAAGUCUUAUUACGACCAGUUCUCAGAAUUUUGACGUCCUAAGGGACUCAUAAUUAUGAGACCCUUAAAACAUAAAAAAAUUUUACAAACAUAAAAAUACUUAAAUAUUUAAAUAAAUCAUAUAUUUACAUUUUAAACAAAGACUUGAUACAAUUCAAAAGCUAAAGUAACAAAUUCAAAUUAUUUUCGAUGAAUCAAACUAUGGACAUUAUGGACUCAUGAAAAAAUUAUUUUCGAUAAAUCAAAUUCAAGUUAUAACUUGUUAAAGUAAGCUAUUGGAUGUGUAAUAUUGCUUUCCAAAUUAAAUCAUAUUCCAUAAUAAUAUUGGACUCAUUUCCUAGAUGUAAUUAAUCAUGUAUAUUAAAGUCAAGAAAAUUUUAUUUUUGAUAAGAUCAAUCUACCAGAAAAUUUAUUUUUAAAUAAAUUUUUAAUUAAUCCAUCUUUUAAAUUUAUACUAAUUUAAAAGGAUUUUUACCAUGGUUUUCAUUUAGAGACCCCAUUAGAUGUGAGGCCUUAAGCCAUUGCCUAGUUGUCUUCAGCUUAGUGCCGGCCUUGAGUCUUUUGAUCUCUUCCUGAUCUGUAAAUUAUAUCGAUAAAGUUUAGACAAGUUACAUUCAACUUUAAAAACGAUCAAAAUUUUUUUUGUUUCUAGUCGCCCAAAGGAUCCAUUGUACGAUAAGUUGGCAUUUGCCUAAGGCGGCAAUCUAGUCCAUGGCACGGUUCGUAAACAGGUCAAGCCGAACUGGAUUCGAUAGUAGCCAUAAUUCUUAUUUCCAACAGGAUAAAUCAUUAAAAAUGAAUAAUUUAUUAUGCAACAAGAACUCUCAAAUAAAGAAUAGUAUAAUGUAUCACUAUAUAUAAAUAGUAUAAUUCUCAGUGUCCAACCAAAAAGUAAAAAUAAAAAAUAGUAUUCAUACAAAACUCAGUUUGUGUGAUGUACGAUCUCCACGAAUCAUAAGGGAACCGAUGAAGAAACAAGGAUAAAUAAUCUAGUUCUUGAUGAGGACCAAGAGAGACAAAACCAACGAAGAACCCACAACAGCGGCAGAAACCGGCAAGGUGUAUCCUGCACCGUGGUCCGGCGUCGGGGCAGGCGACGGAGACAUUCCGAACUCAUCCUGAGCCAUUGCAGCAGAACAAAUUGCCAUCACGGCUACGAACAUGGACACAGCCCUCAACAUUGUCAUUUCCAUGUGUAUUUGAAAAAACAGAACAAUUGAGAGAAAUUAGAAAAUAAUAGUACAAGAAAAUUGUGUGC
rnacentral:lncRNA from 1 species